rnacentral:rRNA from 1 species
AACGAACGCUGGCGGCGCGUCUUAAGCAUGCAAGUCGGACGGCAAGGGUAGCAAUACCCCUAGAGUGGCGGACUGGUGAGUAACGCGUGGGUGACCUACCCUCGAGAUGGGGAUAGCCAUUAGAAAUAGUGGAUAAUACCGAAUACGCUCGUGACCCUGUGGGGAUACGAGGAAAUCAGGCUACGGCCUGGCUCGAGGAUGGGCCCGCGUCCCAUUAGCUAGUUGGUGAGGUAACGGCCCACCAAGGCGACGAUGGGUAUCCGGCCUGAGAGGGUGUACGGACACAUUGGGACGGAGAUACGGCCCAAACUCCUACGGGAGGCAGCAGCUAAGAAUAUUCCGCAAUGGACGAAAGUCUGACGGAGCGACGCCGCGUGGAUGAAGAAGGCCGAAAGGUUGUAAAAUCCUUUUGCUGAUGAAGAAUAAGUGGUGUAGGGAAUGACAUCAUGAUGACAUUAGUCGGUGAAUAAGCCCCGGCUAACUACGUGCCAGCAGCCGCGGUAA